rnacentral:rRNA from 1 species
UGCAGUCGACGAACUCUUCGGAGUUAGUGGCGGACGGGUGAGUAACACGUGGGAACGUGCCUUUAGGUUCGGAAUAACUCAGGGAAACUUGUGCUAAUACCGAAUGUGCCCUUCGGGGGAAAGAUUUAUCGCCUUUAGAGCGGCCCGCGUCUGAUUAGCUUGUUGGUGGGGUAAUGGCCCACCAAGGCGACGAUCAGUAGCUGGUCUGAGAGGAUGACCAGCCACAUUGGGACUGAGACACGGCCCAAACUCCUACGGGAGGCAGCAGUGGGGAAUCUUGCGCAAUGGGCGAAAGCCUGACGCAGCCAUGCCGCGUGGAUGAUGAAGGUCUUAGGAUUGUAAAAUCCUUUCACCGGUGAAGAUAAUGACUGUAGCCGGAGAAGAAGCCCCGGCUAACUUCGUGCCAGCAGCCGCGGUAAUACGAAGGGGGCUAGCGUUGCUCGGAAUUACUGGGCGUAAAGGGAGCGUAGGCGGACAUUUAAGUCAGGGGUGAAAUCCCAGAGCUCAACUCUGGAACUGCCUUUGAUACUGGGUGUCUUGAGUGUGAGAGAGGUAAGUGGAACUCCGAGUGUAGAGGUGAAAUUCGUAGAUAUUCGGAAGAACACCAGUGGCGAAGGCGACUUACUGGCUCAUUACUGACGCUGAGGCUCGAAAGCGUG